rnacentral:misc_RNA from 1 species
GAGAGAGAGAGAGGGGGGGAGAGAGAGAUGGAGUACUCUGGCGAUGGAUAUGAUGUGGUGGUUAUCGGUGCAGGCAUCAUGGGCAGCUGCACUGCCUAUGAACUAGCAAAAAGGGGUGAAAAAACUCUUCUGUUGGAGCAAUUCGACUUCCUCCACCACCGUGGAUCAUCACAUGGAGAGUCGCGCACUAUACGAGCAGCCUACCCACAAGACUACUACUGUGCUAUGGCGAUGGAAUCCUUCACCCUUUGGGAGGAAGCCCAAUCAGAAAUCGGCUUCAAGGUUUAUUU